CGCCGCCACAAACCCGGCCGCCGUCGUUCCCCAUUCCGCCGCCAACCACCAGCGUCUGCAGAACACAUGCAUCCCUCUUCUCAUCACAAACCUCAUCAUUUGGGAAUUUCAGACCCAACCCAGAAUUCAAAAACACUCCACGAAUCGAAGACGAAGAGAAAUCUGACGUGGGUUUCAGAUCUUGAUCUCGAACUGGUACUCCAUUCUCCCUGGAUUUCACUUCUG
rnacentral:misc_RNA from 1 species